rnacentral:rRNA from 1 species
GUGGGGAAUAUUGGACAAUGGGCGAAAGCCUGAUCCAGCCAUGCCGCGUGUGUGAAGAAGGUCUUCGGAUUGUAAAGCACUUUAAGUUGGGAGGAAGGGCAGUAAGUUAAUACCUUGCUGUUUUGACGUUACCGACAGAAUAAGCACCGGCUAACUUCGUGCCAGCAGCCGCGGUAAUACGAAGGGUGCAAGCGUUAAUCGGAAUUACUGGGCGUAAAGCGCGCGUAGGUGGUUUUGUAAGUUGGAGGUGAAAUCCCCGGGCUCAACCUGGGAACUACCUCCAAAACUGCAUGACUAGAGUACGGUAGAGGGUAGUGGAAUUUCCUGUGUAGCGGUGAAAUGCAUAGAUAUAGGAAGGAACACCAGUGGCGAAGGCGACUACCUGGACUGAUACUGACACUGAGGUGCGAAAGCGUGGGGAGCAAACAGGAUUAGAUACCCCAGUAGUCC